rnacentral:lncRNA from 1 species
AAAUACCAGUUAUGUAUAGUUUGACUACCUCCAUUCACGAAUUUGACCCGAACUCAACCCAAAAACGGUAUAUAGAUAGAUAGAUAGAUAGAUAUGAUAAUAAAGUACGUGAUGUAUAAACUUGGUUGAAUUGAUAUUUUUUUGUAGCAAUAUGUGAUAAAAUUAAAAUAUUUCUCCGAAUUAGGUUGAAAUUUAAUAUAUAUGAAUACGUUAAAUUUAUAUUUUGAGUAUUAAAAUUUGAUUUUUUUUAAAUAUUUGGGUAUUGGGUCCCGA